rnacentral:rRNA from 1 species
AGCGCUCUUUUCCCGGCAUUUGUGGGCGUAAGGGCUCGCAGGCGGUUUCUUAAGGCUGAUGCGAAAGCCCCCGGCUCAACCGGGGAGGGUCAUUGGAAACUGGGGAACUUGAGUGCAGAAGAGGAGAGUGGAAUUCCACGUGUAGCGGUGAAAUGCGUAGAGAUGUGGAGGAACACCAGUGGCGAAGGCGACUCUCUGGUCUGUAACUGACGCUGAGGAGCGAAAGCGUGGGGAGCGAACAGGAUUAGAUACCCUGGUAGUCCACGCCGUAAACGAUGAGUGCUAAGUGUUAGGGGGUUUCCGCCCCUUAGUGCUGCAGCUAACGCAUUAAGCACUCCGCCUGGGGAGUACGGUCGCAAGACUGAAACUCAAAGGAAUUGACGGGGGCCCGCACAAGCGGUGGAGCAUGUGGAUUAAUUCGAAGCAACGCGAAGAACCUUACCAGGUCUUGACAUCCUCUGACAAUCCUAGAGAUAGGACGUCCCCUUCGGGGGCAGAGUGACAGGUGGUGCAUGGUUGUCGUCAGCUCGUGUCGUGAGAUGUUGGGUUAAGUCCCGCAACGAGCGCAACCCUUGAUCUUAGUUGCCAGCAUUCAGUUGGGCACUCUAAGGUGACUGCCGGUGACAAACCGGAGGAAGGUGGGGAUGACGUCAAAUCAUCAUGCCCCUUAUGACCUGGGCUACACACGUGCUACAAUGGACAGAACAAAGGGCAGCGAAACCGCGAGGUUAAGCCAAUCCCACAAAUCUGUUCUCAGUUCGGAUCGCAGUCUGCAACUCGACUGCGUGAAGCUGGAAUCGCUAGUAAUCGCGGAUCAGCAUGCCGCGGUGAAUACGUUCCCGGGCCUUGUACACACCGCCCGUCACACCACGAGAGUUUGUAACACCCGAAGUCGGUGAGGUAACCUUUUAGGAGCCAGCCGCCGAAGGUGGGACAGAUGAUUGGGGUGAAUCGUAACAGGGGAAACCGUAAAGGGGGGGGUUUUGGGGUU